ACUCGAGUGGCGAACGGGUGAGUAACACGUGGGUGAUCUGCCUCGUACUCUGGGAUAAGCCUGGGAAACUGGGUCUAAUACCGGAUAGGACCACUGGUCGCAUGGUUGGUGGUGGAAAGUUUUCGGUACGAGAUGGGCCCGCGGCCUAUCAGCUUGUUGGUGGGGUAAUGGCCUACCAAGGCGACGACGGGUAGCCGGCCUGAGAGGGCGACCGGCCACACUGGGACUGAGACACGGCCCAG
rnacentral:rRNA from 1 species